CUAGAGAUUCCUAGAGAGGUGUCCUCUUUGGUCAAAACAUGGUGUUUUUGUUAUUUGCGGUUUUUCCAUAUUCACAGGGGUCUUGUGCCCCUAACCCUAGCGAAUAGGGAGGGAUGGAUGUACACUUGCAUGUCCCUUUUGGUUGGGGGAUGUAUGAAGGACAGGCAUCUCUCCUAACAAUGUCCAUGACAGCGACUGAAUUCUGCCAUUCAACUUCUUGUUGGGAGGAAGGUGCCUCUGUUUCCCAGCCGCGAAGUUGAGUCGCUGUGUUUUUCUGGAGUAAGAAGUCUGGGUGAGAUAAGAUGCCAGAGGCGGAAAAAAGGAGAAUAAAGAUUAUCUACCGUCGCAGGUGGUACGGUUGAGAGGUCAGGGGGAUCCCAUAAGUAUUUACCUUCACCCCAAAACGGAGCCCUUUCUUUGCCAGUCGGAGUCGACAACGUUGGGAUCGAGCCAACGAUUGACCCGGCUUCUUCAGCCGUAAGCACUGGCUAAGCAACGAACGAGGUUAUGAUGAUGCUGAUGAAUAAUAGAAAGCUCUUAUCAAACCUGCCUGGUGCUUUAUGGAGCGUCAAAGGAUAAAUCAUUGGUCCUCAGAGGAUGCCAUUUAAAAUCUGAUACCAGAAGAUAAAGGGAAGGGAGAAAGAAAGCAGGUUUGGUGGGGAAAAUAAUAAAGCAGAGGUCUGUUUGACAGCAACCAAACCAUGUGAAAUCAAGAAGUAGGAUUCCAGCUAUAUAGACGUACUCAUGAAAGCAUUUGAACGCAACUGAAUCCAAGGGUGGGCCCAGGUUUUUGGUCCAUGUAUAUUUAUCUCCCUGUUAAGAAUGACAGCGACAAGGAAACAGGUUGGCUAAGGUCCUUCCAACAAAACAGAACGAAACAACCGCCUCCAGCUGCUGAAAUCACCUUUUCCCUUCUGGAACCACCUUGUUGUCGCCAACCCACCAGGGAACACCAUUUAUGUAACACACCUGAGGUCCUCCGUCUCCAAGUGCAGUGUCACCUUAAGGAUGUGCUCCAGGAUACACCUUGGUGUCUAUUCUUCUUCCAGUGAAGAAGCCGGCGGAGCUUCGAAAACUUGCGUCAUGUAUUUUGCGCAUUUUGGUUGGCCAGUAAAGGAAUCAGAUGAAGAAGCCGCUGUAGCUUCUAAAGCCUGCAUCCUGCAAAUUGUGCAUUUCGGUUGUCCAAUAAAGAGAUCAAGUGAAGAAGCCAGUGGAGGUUCAAAAGCUUGCAAUGUCUAUUUUUGUGCAUUUUGGGUGACCCAUAAAGGGGUCAGAUGAAGAAGCCGGU